ACUCAGUUCACUUGAAAAUGAGUGUUUAGCCAGCUCUCCUGCUCAAUGUGGGAGCAUCCUGCGCGCGAGCACAACCAUCCCCCAUCGGAACGCCGUUACUUAUCCCUUUACCUCACCCCUCUGCCCCCACCCCCGCGUGCGCUCUUUUCCUCUCACAAUCUCUUCUCUACUACUAGGCAUCAAGCUGGGCUAGUGAUGUGGCGAUGAGUUCUGUACACUCAAGCUUCGCUUCUCGGCUCCUAGCUUUUCCAGAGUCUCUCAGUGAACCUGAUCUGGUAGCCGCUGUGGCUCCAGCUAAAGGUUAGUGUAAACAAGUUGUGUGUGUGUGGUGGUCCCGGCUCUCUCUCUGCGGUCUACGAUUGUGAGUGUUUCUUACUCCACUCCACCCUCUUGGCCUGAGAGCGUUGUUGUCGGCCAUCCAUGGGACUGUGUGAGUAACAUAAGGCAAGUGACUGAUUCUUACUCAGCAUUGGAGGCUGUAACAUCAUGAGUGCUGUUGUUUGGAAUUCCAGACUGCGGAGAUGGUCGUGUCCGUUGCAGCAUCAACUGUCUCCCGAAGUGCUCUCUUGGUGACGGUUUGACAUGACGUCAUUCCUCUCAAGUUUUCCUGUAGUAGGAAAGGGCAUAUCACGAGAGAGUACUGUGCCAGGUAAACACUCAUAAAGAA